GACGAACGCUGGCGGCGUGCUUAACACAUGCAAGUCGAACGGAAACGCCCUGCUUUUGUGGGGUGCCCGAGUGGCGAACGGGUGAGUAACACGUGAGUAACCUGCCCUUGACUUUGGGAUAACUUCAGGAAACUGGGGCUAAUACCGGAUAGGAUCCCCCCCUGCAUGGUGGGCGUUGGAAAGUCUCGGCGGUCGGGGAUGGACUCGCGGCUUAUCAGCUUGUUGGUGGGGUAGUGGCUUACCCAGGCAUUGACGGGUAGCCGGCCUGGGAGGGUGACCGGCGACAUUGGGACUGAGAUAGGGCCCAGACGCGUACGGGAGGCAACAGGGGGGAGUAUUGCACAAUGGGCGGGAGCCUGAUGCAGCAGCGCCGCGUGCGGGAUGACGGCCUUCGGGGUGUGAACCGCUGUCGCCUGUGACGAAGCGGGAGUGACGGUAAUGAGUAAAGAAGCACCGGCUAACUACGUG
rnacentral:rRNA from 1 species